AGCGAACGCUGGCGGCAGGCCUAACACAUGCAAGUCGAACGAAGUCUUCGGACUUAGUGGCGGACGGGUGAGUAACACGUGGGAGCGUGCCCUUUGGUACGGAAUAACUCAGGGAAACUUGAGCUAAUACCGUAUGUGCCCUUCGGGGGAAAGAUUUAUCGCCAUUGUGGCGGCCCGCGUCUGAUUAGAUAGUUGGUGAGGUAAAGGCUCACCAAGGCGACGAUCAGUAGCUGGUCUGAGAGGAUGAUCAGCCACACUGGGACUGAGACACGGCCCAAACUCCUACGGGAGGCAGCGGUGGGGAAUCUUGCGCAAUGGGCGAAAGCCUGACGCAGCCAUGCCGCGUGAAUGAUGAAGGUCUUAGGAUUGUAAAAUUCUUUCACCGGGGACGAUAAUGACGGUACCCGGAGAAGAAGCCCCGGCUAACUUCGUGCCAGCCGCCGCCGUAA
rnacentral:rRNA from 1 species